rnacentral:lncRNA from 1 species
CAAGAGGUCGUUUUAUAAACAAUUACUGAGGUUAGGGCUCUUUAUAUUGUCUUGGUUUCAUCCUAAAAUGUUUCUAUACUUAGGGUCGCCAAGGAAGCCAGAGUGGAGGCUGUCGGAAGGGUGGGUUUGAAUGAACUUUGGCUGCUCCAUCAAGCAGGCUGAUUACUGAGGAAACAUCAAAAGCUUCACCCGAGUGACUCAUCACCCAGAUCCAACAGAGGCUAUGAGAGUUGUGAGCACCCAUGGAUAUGCUUAGGAUUGAAGAAGCUUCCAAAAGUAGCAAUAUCACAAAAGGAUUUCUGAGUGAAGAGAAAUGUGCCUGUUGAUGAUAAUGUACCUGAAGAGUGAUGAAGGUGAGCUGUGGACUCUUUUUUAACCAUUUACGUUCUGACAAGUCAUUAUAAAAAGCUCACAAUUCAGAAAAUACUAAGAGCA